rnacentral:rRNA from 1 species
GUAAGGAAUAUUGGUCAAUGGGGGGAACCCUGAACCAGCCAUGCCGCGUGCAGGAAGACGGCCCUACGGGUUGUAAACUGCUUUUGUACGGGAAUAACCCGCCAUACGUGUAUGGCGCUGAAGGUACCGUAAGAAUAAGGAUCGGCUAACUCCGUGCCAGCAGCCGCGGUAAUACGGAGGAUCCGAGCGUUAUCCGGAAUUAUUGGGUUUAAAGGGUGCGUAGGCGGCAUGCUAAGUCAGGGGUGAAAUACGGUGGCUCAACCAUCGCAGUGCCUUUGAUACUGGCGUGCUUGAAUUUACCUGAGGUAGGCGGAAUGUGGCAAGUAGCGGUGAAAUGCAUAGAUAUGCCACAGAACACCGAUUGCGAAGGCAGCUUACCAAAGUAGGAUUGACGCUGAGGCACGAAAGCGUGGGGAUCGA